AAGGUAUGGCAGAAGUAAAGGAUAUCCUAAAGUAUGUUUGGUACUUCGGAGAUACUUUGCUAAGGUUCACAUGUUUUCUUGACUACUAUGGAAACAUACAAAGAAACACAAAGUGGCCUGAAUGUUUCACUGUCUGAGGGAGUGCAUCGGUCUCUCAGGAACAGGAAGGCACAUUGUGGCCCACGAGCUAUGGGCUCUCCUCUGGAAACUUAUGACAACUGCCUCUCAAAGCAUGCAGACCAGGCCAACUCGAUGGUUCCGUGAAACACGGGAGCAUGGUCAUUAGCUAAGAGCAAAGUGGAGGAGGGGUAACAAGAGCUUUGAGAAGACUCGAGUUCUCAAAUAAUGUCCUGGAAAAAUGUGAUGGUUUCUCUUAAUAGUCAACUUAAUGGAAUUUAGAAUUACCAAGGAAACAAACCUCUGAACAUGUGUGUGAGGGACUUUCUAAAUGAGAAUAAUUAAGAUGGGAGACCCAUCAUAACUGGAUGAUACCAUUUCAUGAAAAAGGGUAGUCUGAGGUCUUAGAAUGAAUUAAAAGGAAUUCAUUCCUUUGCCUUAACAAUGAAAAUGUAAUGAAUGAAGAAAGUGAAUGAAGGGACAGACAAGUAAACUGGAGUAUGAAUUCCUUGUGAGUGUGCAGUAUAAGCUCUUAGAGUUCAUGUUCAUGAAUUUAAGCUGGAUUCAACAGCACUGGAUUCAACUACACUGCUUUUCUUCAGAUACAUCCUGCAGCAUUGUAAGUAUAGAACAGAAGGCUUACAUAGCAGGCUGGCAGAGAAGAGUCUGGCUCUCCGGAGACAACAUAAAGU
rnacentral:lncRNA from 1 species